CGUAUUUCUAGAGACCCACGCUGUCCGUCCGAGCUGCAUGGCUUCUCAGCAACGCCACAGCUUCUCAGCCUCCUCAAUGGCAGUAGCAGCAGGGACAAAGAUGGCUCCAUCCAGGACUGUAUGUUGCAUUAAGUAGUCGUAUCACCUUGGGCUCCUCUGGGCUGUGACUGGCUCACCGUCCUUCCUUGUCUUUGAUGCCCUCGACAGUUUGGAGCAGUGUUGAUCAGGGACAUUUCAAGAUCUCUACAAGACCAGUAUCUGGUCUUAUCAAACUGCUGUGCUCUAGUGAAAUAACAACAAGCCAUAAAGACUUCCUUACACAGGUACUGGGGGAAAGGCUGGGCUCUAAUUCCAUGUAGCUUUACUGUGCCUUUCUCAAAUUUGCUGAAAUUCAUGCUUUUGGAGUACGGUUGGCCCUUUGUAUCCAUGGCUUCCACAUGCAUGGAUUCAACUUCAAAUCAACUUCAAAUAAAAAAUAUUUGACAAAGAAAGGGAUGGUUGCA
rnacentral:lncRNA from 13 species